AAUCAACGCUGGCGGCGUGCCUCAGACAUGCAAGUCGAACGCGAAAGGCCCCUUCGGGGGCCCGGUAGAGUGGCGCACGGGUGAGUAACACGUAGGUAAUUUGCCUUCGGGUGGGGAAUAACAGCCGGAAACGGCUGCUAAUACCGCAUAAUGCAGCGGCUCGACAUCGAGACAGUUGUUAAAGCGGGGGGAUCGCAAGACCUCGCGCCUGAAGAGAAGCCUGCGGCAGAUAGCUUGUUGGUGAGGUAAUGGCUCACCAAGGCGACGAUCUGUAACCGGCCUGAGAGGGCGGUCGGUCACACUGACACUGACAUACGGGUCAGACUCCUACGGGAGGCAGCAGUCGGGAAUUUUGGGCAAUGGGCGAAAGCCUGACCCAGCAACGCCGCCGCGAAGGAUGAAAUCUCUCGGGAUGUAAACUUCGCAAGAACGGGAAGAAUAAGUUUGGG
rnacentral:rRNA from 1 species